GACGAACGCUGGCGGCGUGCUUAACACAUGCAAGUCGAACGCUGAAGCUCAGCUUUUGUUGGGUGGACGAGUGGCGAACGGGUGAGUAACACGUGAGUAACCUGCCCCCUUCUUUGGGAUAACGCCCGGAAACGGGUGCUAAUACUGGAUAUUCACUGGUCUUCGCAUGGGGGUUGGUGGAAAGGGUUUUUCUGGUGGGGGAUGGGCUCGCGUCCUAUCAGCUUGUUGGUGGGGUGAUGGCCUACCAAGGCUUUGACGGGUAGCCGGCCUGAGAGGGUGACCGGUCACAUUGGGACGGAGAUACGGCCCAGACGCCGACGGGAGGCAGCAGUGGGGGAAAUUGCACAAUGGGCGCAAGCCUGAUGCAGCGACGCCGCGGGAGGGAUGGAGGCCUUCGGGUUUUGAACCUCUUUCGCUCAUGGUCAAGCCGCAACAAUGGUUGUGGUGAGGGUAGUGGGUAAAGAAGCGCCGGCUAACUACGUG
rnacentral:rRNA from 1 species